rnacentral:rRNA from 1 species
CGAACGCUGGCGGCGUGCUUAACACAUGCACGUCGAACGGAAAGGCCCUGCUUUUGUGGGGUGCUCGAGUGGCGAACGGGUGAGUAACACGUGAGUAACCUGCCCUUGACUUUGGGAUAACUUCAGGAAACUGGGGCUAAUACCGGAUAGGAGCUCCUGCUGCAUGGUGGGGGUUGGAAAGUUUCGGCGGUUGGGGAUGGACUCGCGGCUUAUCAGCUUGUUGGUGGGGUAGUGGCUUACCAAGGCUUUGACGGGUAGCCGGCCUGAGAGGGUGACCGGCCACAUUGGGACUGAGAUACGGCCCAGACUCCUACGGGAGGCAGCAGUGGGGAAUAUUGCACAAUGGGCGGAAGCCUGAUGCAGCAACGCCGCGUGCGGGAUGACGGCCUUCGGGUUGUAAACCGCUUUCGCCUGUGACGAAGCGUGAGUGACGGUAAUGGGGAAAGAAGCACCGGCGAACUACGU